AUUUUGGAAACACACUUAGUAUUCAAGGAAAAUAAAGUAUAUUUUAAAACUGAAUGGGCUGUGUGUGUGUUUCUAGCUCAUCCAGCUCUAACACCUCCAGUAUGGCUCUCAUUUAUAGACUUUUGUCAGUUCAGACCAGGCAUGGCUUCUAAUUUUUGGUUUAGAGAUAUCAAAAACUAUGCUUUUUUAAUAACCUAGAAAUAAUGGUUAUAGAAGAAUUAUUUCAGAUAAGUAAAAAAAAUUUCACACAAUUCUGCCUGAUCCCAUUAAGUCAAGCACACAUUCUACCAUCCAUAUUUCUGAGCUCCCUGAUCUACUCUCAAAUUUGUAACCUUCGUUCUGGCUGCCAGGUGACAUCGCAGAUGUCUCUCUGUUUAUGUUCUUUUUUAAUGAAAGGAAAGGAGUACAUCUUACAAGAACAAAAAGACAUUAUGAAACAAUUUGUUUACUUUGAUACCAAUUCGGUUUGGAAAAUGCGUACAUGUGUUAAAACACUUCAAUUUGUGUUGACUUCGAGUCUAUAUUUAAUUCACUAAUUUUAUCUUUUCUCUCUUUAGUGUAGAUUGAGACAUCAUCACUGUAGAGGGGUCCCUCCCUGAGAGAAAGGCCUUGCCCUUCAUUAUUCAAUCCUAUAAGGCUUUCUAAGUCUUCUCUUACACUCCCUCAGGGAUUCUCUCCCUAGGACAUCUUGCACACUCCAGUGAAACCAUCCCUUCUCAGUCUCCUGCUGCCUUCCCUAUGUCCACCUACCUGUUUCUGCCAAGGCAUGCUGGAGCUACCUGAUGUUUCAUCCAAUAGAUGCUCUGAAUGAGACAUAGGUGAAAGAAUUUCUAAAUGAGUCCCAGGCACAUAAAGUAGUACAGAAGAAACAAAAAUAAUGGAUUAAGUAAGCAGAAGAUGGAAGUCAUCAAACCUAUACCCCGGUUGCCAGACUCAUCAUAUGACCACAGAACCUGGGGUAAAAAGUCCCCUCCAUUUGUUGGCCUCUGCACUAACAGAGGAGGUUAUUCAAUAUAGAAACUGACUGGGGAUGUGGGCUUUGAAGUGAGAAGUAUGUGAAUUUGACCCUGGAGGUGGUACAUGUUCUAGGGCAAGUAAUUUAUCUACCAUGUGUCCUUUAAUUGUUGGUGCCUUUUUAUUAUUAUUAUAUCAUUAUUAUCCCACUACCCAUCCAAAGGAUAAAUUAUCUGUGAUGAUAAUACUGCCUGGUAUUAAAAAUGCUUUAUGAACCUUUAAUUUUUUUUAACUGAUUGAGUGUUUAACAUACAGAUUAAAAGGCUUUGCAUGGAAAAGUUUUGAAUGCAUAUAAGCAUAUAACACUAUUUUUUAAUUUGUACCUUUACAUGAUAUAUCUUGGUUCUUAUCUUUUUCCCCAUUCCCCUGUCCUUGCUUCACCCCCUCCAUCCCUCCCUAUUUACAAAGACUUUGUUUCCAUUUUUUCUUUUUCUCAUAUUUAUUUCUUUCCAUUCUUUCCUUUCCCCUAUCCCUCCCACUUCCCCUUCCCCUUUGGACCUUUUCUUCCUAUUUCACAUUAUCUAUUAUACAUACUCAAGUGAAAUAAAUAGGACACACAUGUGUAAAUAUCGAAUCAUUUCUUUGGUAUGAGAAACGGAAAGUGUAAAUAAGGAUCAAAAUGUAUAACAUUAUUUUAUAUGCUAUAUGUAUGAUAUUUCCAUUUUCUAGCAUUAUUUAAGAAUUGUCAUUGGGUCAUCCAGUCAGUGUUCAUAAUAAAGCAAAGUUAAGUAAUAUUUUUUACCUUGCCUUUUAAUCAGUUAUUUGUAUACAUAUUAGUAUUAAGAUAAAAGCAAAGUAAAAAAUAACAAAAAUUCAAGAUGGUAAAG
ensembl:lncRNA